rnacentral:rRNA from 1 species
AACGAACGCUGGCGGCAGGCCUAACACAUGCAAGUCGAACGAACUCUUCGGAGUAAGUGGCGCACGGGUGAGUAACGCGUGGGAAUAUGCCUCUUGGUGCGGAACAACGUCUGGAAACGGACGCUAAUACCGCAUAAUAUCUAAGGAUCAAAGAUUUAUCGCCAAGAGAUUAGCCCGCGUCUGAUUAGGUAGUUGGUGAGGUAAAGGCUCACCAAGCCGACGAUCAGUAGAUGGUCUGAGAGGAUGAUCAUCCACACUGGUACUGAGACACGGACCAG